rnacentral:rRNA from 1 species
GAUGAACGCUGGCGGCGUGCCUAACCCAUGUAAGUCGAGCGAUUCACAGCAAUGUGAAGAGCGGCGGAAGGGUGAGUAACACGUAGGAGACCUACCUCAUCGCAGGGAACAACUUCGCGAAAGCGGAGCUAAUACCCAAGAAGCUCGUGUAUUCGGUUAUACGAGAAGAGUUUGCGCGCAAGCGUGAGCGUGAUGAGAGGGUCCUGCGGCCCAUCAGCUAGUUGGUAGGGUAGUGGCCUACCAAGGCAACGACGGGUAGGGGGUCUGAGAGGACGAUCCCCCACACUGGAACUGAAACACGGUCCAGACGCCUACGGGUGGCAGCAGGGAGGAAUAUUGGGCAAUGGACGAAAGUCUGACCCAGCAACGCCGCGUGAAGGAUGAAGGCCUUCGGGUUGUAAACUUCUUUUGAGGGAGAAGAGAAAGGACGGUAUCCCUCGAAUAAGCCACGGCUAACUACGUGCCAGCAGCCGCGGUAAAACGUAGGUGGCGAGCGUUAUCCGGAUUCAUUGGGCGUAAAGAGCUUGUAGGUGGCUAUAUAAGUUGGACGUGAAAACUCUAGGCUUAACUUAGAGAGGCCGUUCAAUACUGUAUGGCUAGAGGAUGUCAGAGGGAAGUAGAAUUCCUGGUGUAGCAGUGAAAUGCGUAGAUAUCAGGAGGAAUACCCGUGGCGAAGGCGGCUUCCUGGGGCACACCUGACACUGAGAAGCGAAAGCUAGGGGAGCAAACGGGAUUAGAAACCCCGGUAGUCCUAGCUGUAAACGAUGGAUGCUAGGUGUAAGCAGAACUAACCCUGCUUGUGCCGAAGCU